rnacentral:rRNA from 1 species
AGGGUGUAAACGCUGCAGACUUGGUGUUGGAAGUCCUUUGGGGGCAUUCGGUGCCGGAGAGAAGUUGUUAAGUCUGCUACUUGGGAGUACGUCCGCAAGGAUGAAACUUAAAGGAAUUGGCGGGGGAGCACCGCAACGGGAGGAGCGUGCGGUUUAAUUGGAUUCAACACCGUAAAACUCACCAGGGAAGACUGUUACAUGAAAGCCGAGAUGAAGACUCUGCUAGAUUUUCAGAGAGGUGGUGCAUGGCGUCAGUGACU